rnacentral:rRNA from 1 species
CCCGUUUUGRAAAAMGRACCAAGGAGUGCAAGAGAUGCGCAAGUCGGAAGGGUUGUGUCAGGGCCUCGGUCCUGCCUGAGAGACCCAUGUGUUUGGAACGGGCGAAGUGAGAGCAAUUUGUGGGUGCGAGAGCCUUGGGGAGACCCGAGGCGCAUCGCUGGCCGAGCCGUAUGGUCACGCUGUGGCCGGUUUCGAGUGCGAGCGUAUCUGUUGCGACCCGAAAGAUGGUGAACUAUGCCUGAGGAGGGUGAAGCCAGAGGAAACUCUGGUGGAGGCCCGUAGCGGUUCUGACGUGCAAAUCGAUUGUCGCACUUGGGUAUAGGGGCGAAAGACUAAUCGAACCAUCUAGUAGCUGGUUCCCUCCGAAGUUUCCCUCAGGAUAGCUGGAGUUGUUGAGCAGUUUCGUCGGGUAAAGCGAAUGAUUAGAGGUAUCGGGGUUGAAAGGGCCUCGCCCUAUUCUCAAACUUUAAAUCGGCGAGAAGGGUUGUCUUGCCUGCCGGAAGGCAUCCCUUGAAUGCAGGGGCUCCAAGUGGGCCGUUUUUGGUAAGCAGAACCGGCGAUGCGGGAUGAACCGAACGUUGGGCUAUGGCGCCGGAGUCGACGCUAAGCAGAUACCAGGAAAGGUGUUGGUUAAU